rnacentral:miRNA from 16 species
GGGAGAGCCGUUCCGUGACUGU